rnacentral:rRNA from 1 species
ACUCUAAGCGGUGGAUCACUCGGCUCAUGGGUCGAUGAAGAACGCAGCAAACUGUGCGUCAUCGUGUGAACUGCAGGACACAUGAACAUCGACAUUUUUGAACGCAUAUCGCAGUCCAUGCUGUUAUGUACUUUAAUUAAUUUUAUAGUGCUGCUUGGACUACAUAUGGUUGAGGGUUGUAAGACUAUGCUAAUUAAGUUGUUUAUAAAUUUUAUAAGCAUAUGGUAUAUUAUUGGAUAAAAUAAUAAUAUUUUUAUUCAUAAUAUUAAAAAAUAUAUAUGAAAAACAUUAUCUCACAUUUGGAUGUGAAAAACGAAGAGAAAUAUUUUCUUUUCAAUCAAGUAAUACUGAGAAAUGUCUAGCAUAAAAAUUGAAUUAUUUUUCAUCUAGAAUUGUCUCUUAUUAAUGAUUCGGAAUAGAAAAAACUUGGUUAUGUUAUUAUUCUUCGUUGGUUCGUUUAAUGGAAAACACUUUGCUACAAGAAAUAAUGGAAAUUUUAUAACGAAUUUAAUAAAAUGUUUUUAUCAUUAUAUAUAAAGAAUUAAUGGCAAGAAAAAGUUAUAUACAACCUCAACUCAUAUGGGACUACCCCCUGAAUUUAAGCAUAUUAAUUAGGGGAGGAAAAGAAACUAACAAGGAUUUUCUUAGUAGCGGCGAGCGAAAAGAAAACAGUUCAGCACUAAGUCACUUUGUCUAUAUGGCAAAUGUGAGAUGCAGUGUAUGGAGCGUCAAUAUUCUAGUAUGAGAAAUUAACGAUUUAAGUCCUUCUUAAAUGAGGCCAUUUACCCAUAGAGGGUGCCAGGCCCGUAUAACGUUAAUGAUUACUAGAUGAUGUUUCCAAAGAGUCGUGUUGCUUGAUAGUGCAGCACUAAGUGGGUGGUAAACUCCAUCUAAAACUAAAUAUAACCAUGAGACCGAUAGUAAACAAGUACCGUGAGGAAAGUUGAAAAGAACUCUGAAUAGAGAGUUAAACAGUACGUGAAACUGCUUAGAGGUUAAGCCCGAUGAACCUGAAUAUCCGUUAUGGAAAAUUCAUCAUUAAAAUUGUAAUAUUUAAAUAAUAUUAUGAGGAUAGUGUGCAUUUUUUCCAUAUAAGGACAUUGUAAUCUAUUAGCAUAUACCAAAUUUAUCAUAAAAUAUAACUUAUAGUUUAUUCCAAUUAAAUUGCUUGCAUUUUAACACAGAAUAAAUGUUAUUAAUUUGAUAAAGUGCUGAUAGAUUAAUAUGAUUACAGUGCGUUAAUUUUUCGGAAUUAUAUAAUGGCAUAAUUAUCAUUGAUUUUGUGUUUAUUAUAUGCACUUGUAUGAUUAACAAUGCGAAAGAUUCAGGAUACCUUCGGGACCCGUCUUGAAACACGGACCAAGGAGUCUAACAUAUGUGCAAGUUAUUGGGAUAUAAACCUAAUAGCGUAAUUAACUUGACUAAUAAUGGGAUUAGUUUUUUAACUAUUUAUAGCUAAUUAACACAAUCCCGGGGCGUUCUAUAUAGUUAUGUAUAAUGUAUAUUUAUAUUAUUUAUGCCUCUAACUGGAACGUACCUUGAGCAUAUAUGCUGUGACCCGAAAGAUGGUGAACUAUACUUGAUCAGGUUGAAGUCAGGGGAAACCCUGAUGGAAGACCGAAACAGUUCUGACGUGCAAAUCGAUUGUCAGAAUUGAGUAUAGGGGCGAAAGACCAAUCGAACCAUCUAGUAGCUGGUUCCUUCCGAAGUUUCCCUCAGGAUAGCUGGUGCAUUUUAAUAUUAUAUAAAAUAAUCUUAUCUGGUAAAGCGAAUGAUUAGAGGCCUUAGGGUCGAAACGAUCUUAACCUAUUCUCAAACUUUAAAUGGGUAAGAACCUUAACUUUCUUGAUAUGAAGUUCAAGGUUAUGAUAUAAUGUGCCCAGUGGGCCACUUUUGGUAAGCAGAACUGGCGCUGUGGGAUGAACCAAACGUAAUGUUACGGUGCCCAAAUUAACAACUCAUGCAGAUACCAUGAAAGGCGUUGGUUGCUUAAAACAGCAGGACGGUGAUCAUGGAAGUCGAAAUCCGCUAAGGAGUGUGUAACAACUCACCUGCCGAAGCAACUAGCCCUUAAAAUGGAUGGCGCUUAAGUUGUAUACCUAUACAUUACCGCUAAAGUAGAUGAUUUAUAUUACUUGUGAUAUAAAUUUUGAAACUUUAGUGAGUAGGAAGGUACAAUGGUAUGCGUAGAAGUGUUUGGCGUAAGCCUGCAUGGAGCUGCCAUUGGUACAGAUCUUGGUGGUAGUAGCAAAUAAUCGAAUGAGACCUUGGAGGACUGAAGUGGAGAAGGGUUUCGUGUGAACAGUGGUUGAUCACGAGUUAGUCGGUCCUAAGUUCAAGGCGAAAGCCGAAAAUUUUCAAGUAAAACAAAAAUGCCAAAUUAUAUAAACAAAGCGAAAAUAAUACACUUGAAUAAUUUUGAACGAAAGGGAAUACGGUUCCAAUUCCGUAACCUGUUGAGUAUCCGUUUGUUAUUAAAUAUGGGCCUCGUGCUCAUCCUGGCAACAGGAACGACCAUAAAGAAGCCGUCGAGAGAUAUCGGAAGAGUUUUCUUUUCUGUUUUAUAGCCGUACUACCAUGGAAGUCUUUCGCAGAGAGAUAUGGUAGAUGGGCUAGAAGAGCAUGACAUAUACUGUUGUGUCGAUAUUUUCUCCUCGGACCUUGAAAAUUUAUGGUGGGGACACGCAAACUUCUCAACAGGCCGUACCAAUAUCCGCAGCUGGUCUCCAAGGUGAAGAGUCUCUAGUCGAUAGAAUAAUGUAGGUAAGGGAAGUCGGCAAAUUAGAUCCGUAACUUCGGGAUAAGGAUUGGCUCUGAAGAUUGAGAUAGUCGGGCUUGAUUGGGAAACAAUAACAUGGUUUAUGUGCUCGUUCUGGGUAAAUAGAGUUUCUAGCAUUUAUGUUAGUUACUUGUUCCCCGGAUAGUUUAGUUACGUAGCCAAUUGUGGAACUUUCUUGCUAAAAUUUUUAAGAAUACUAUUUGGGUUAAACCAAUUAGUUCUUAUUAAUUAUAACGAUUAUCAAUUAACAAUCAAUUCAGAACUGGCACGGACUUGGGGAAUCCGACUGUCUAAUUAAAACAAAGCAUUGUGAUGGCCCUAGCGGGUGUUGACACAAUGUGAUUUCUGCCCAGUGCUCUGAAUGUCAAAGUGAAGAAAUUCAAGUAAGCGCGGGUCAACGGCGGGAGUAACUAUGACUCUCUUAAGGUAGCCAAAUGCCUCGUCAUCUAAUUAGUGACGCGCAUGAAUGGAUUAACGAGAUUCCUACUGUCCCUAUCCCUAAUGCGGCAAUAGGUCACUCCGCCCGUGCUUGUCGGAGCCAAAGAGUGAGGCCGACCGAGCCUCUAAUUUUCGGUACCACGGGUUGAACAGUUCCCAAGACUGCUCAUUGAGGUUGGCCCCCUUGUGGGAGUAUCGUGGUGGCUGUGGUUGGUACCCAUAUCGCGGGUAGAGCCUUCAUGCUCGACGUUUGAGUAACGGCGCGGGUUGCGCAACACUCGGGUGCUGUGACCCAUAGAACAGUAGAGAUUUUAGGUAGAUCUCGCUCCUCAGCAAGGGGGAGUGCUUGCCCGGCAAGCAAGCACUCGAAUUGCUACCGGGGUGGUCGCUAUGUACAUAGCUAUAGCUUCCAGACCGGGACGUUUUGUUCAGCGUAUUGGACACAUGCAUCAUAUGCUCACUUGUGGGUGUAUAGGGUGCCGUGGUUGUAAUCCCUUCAAUGUGGAACACGCCACGUAAAACAAGUUCGGAGGGAUCCGAUUCAUACACUGUCCCUAUCUACUAUCUAGCGAAACCACAGCCAAGGGAACGGGCUUGGA